rnacentral:rRNA from 1 species
UGAUGUGCCCAGAUGGGAUUAGCUAGUAGGUGGGGUAAUGGCUCACCUAGGCGACGAUCCCUAGCUGGUCUGAGAGGAUGACCAGCCACACUGGAACUGAGACACGGUCCAGACUCCUACGGGAGGCAGCAGUGGGGAAUAUUGCACAAUGGGCGCAAGCCUGAUGCAGCCAUGCCGCGUGUAUGAAGAAGGCCUUCGGGUUGUAAAGUACUUUCAGCGGGGAGGAAGGCGAUGAGGUUAAUAACCUCGUCGAUUGACGUUACUCGCAGAAGAAGC